CCGAUCCAAUCAGGAGGCGCCGCCCUUGCAGACUGCACUUUUUAGUUGCCAUCCUGGAUGGCUAGGGAGGACUACCUACGUAUUCAGUUUCUCUCUGUCUUUGGGACGGAAAUGCUGAGCAGUGGUCUCUGUGUGGCCCGCCCUCUCAUGAGUCAUAGGGCAAUAGGGUUGGGCCUCAAGAGCUCGGGUGUCAGCUCUGAACUACUUCUACCACAGACUGGAUGGUGUGACCAUGACCAAGCCUUUUGAUAACUCCACUUGACACUUUACUCUCUUAGAAGUAUGGAGUAGCCUCCUCAGAGGGCGGGGCCUGCACAAAAUGAAUCUUCCAGGGAUCUUUCAAUAGCUGCGCCCCUUAUUCCAUAGCCUACUGCUGCAGCCUGCUGCUGGGUACAAACACCUCUCUGCUUCCGCCCUCUUUUGCUCAAACGAAACAAACAAAACCACUUCAAAAUUCUACCCAGGACUUCAGGAAUCUCCCAAAAGUCCCGGUGUCCUGAAGGCACAGACACAAGUAAUGGACCCAAAAGAAGCCAAUGCCUACUGAUUCCUGGCGGAGUCCUUACCUGGCAGAGUCUACCCAUAGACUAAGACAGGUUUCGGGGGCAGCACCUGACCUGUUUCACAGCUCCACACUUGGAAGCAGAAAUCCAGCUUCAGUCCUGGAAGUCCUGAAUUCUACUCCGUCCACGGUCUCAGCUCUGAAUGAUCACCACGCC